rnacentral:rRNA from 1 species
AUUGAACGCUGGCGGCAUGCCUUACACAUGCAAGUCGAACGGCAGCACGGGAGCAAUCCUGGUGGCGAGUGGCGAACGGGUGAGUAAUAUAUCGGAACGUGCCCAGUCGUGGGGGAUAACGUAGCGAAAGCUACGCUAAUACCGCAUACGAUCUACGGAUGAAAGCGGGGGAUCGCAAGACCUCGCGCGAUUGGAGCGGCCGAUAUCAGAUUAGGUAGUUGGUGAGGUAAAGGCUCACCAAGCCGACGAUCUGUAGCUGGUCUGAGAGGACGACCAGCCACACUGGGACUGAGACACGGCCCAGACUCCUACGGGAGGCAGCAGUGGGGAAUUUUGGACAAUGGGCGCAAGCCUGAUCCAGCAAUGCCGCGUGCAGGAUGAAGGCCUUCGGGUUGUAAACUGCUUUGUACGGAACGAAACGGUGAGCUCUAAUACAGUUUGCUAAUGACGGUACCGUAAGAAUAAGCACCGGCUAACUACGUG